rnacentral:lncRNA from 1 species
AAAGAAUUUGUCACCCAUUGCAAAAGUCAAUCUGAAAAUAUAGUUUUUCUUACAAAGACAAGUUGCACGUAAGUAUUAUGUUAUUAUUCUUUUGUAUUUUGAUUUUUCUAGAAUUCAAAUUUUUGAAAUGGAGUUUAGCUCUGAUAUUAAAAAUUAUCACAUACUGCACGACAUUCCGUAAAAUGGAAUUCCGGCGUUAAACGGUUUAUUUCGGAAAAUACACCUCAAUGGUGCGUUUUCAGUGAAAAACAUAACAAAGUAGGUUACAAAACAUUUAUUAGGAAACAAGAAGAUAAAUAAUGUAAAUUGCGCAAAAAAAAAGGAUACAAUAGACAUUUUUUUAAAACUUCUUGGUCCCUAGAGUUCCAGCAUAAUUUAAACAGUUACUUUACAAAUGUUUACUCUUGCAAACAGUGUCCAUUAUGUUGACUUUUUUCAUCGCCAAUUGUUGUUUUUCGUCUCUGUUGAGUUUUAUCAUUGUCAUUUUUUUUAACAUCGGAUGUAUUACAUUUGGCGUCCAAGGUCCGUAAACUUUUCACUUUUUGAACUUCUUCUUAAGAUCCACUUGAAAGGUUCAUUAUAAUGUAACUGCUAUUUUCUCUAUUUUUUGACGCAUAUGAUAAAAAGAUCAAGACAUGCCAUUUUUAAUAUCAGAUGUAUUAUUAGCCCUCGGUCAAUAUCAGACCUCGAGCCUUCCGCAUUUCGGCUGCUAUUGAACACAUCCGAUUUGAAAAUUGACAUGUAAAAAUCUGAUAGAAUUCUACUGAAUACAUCUUUCAUUUACAUUCAGUACACAUUCUAACAUAUUGUUCGAUAUUUAAAAAAUACACAAAUCGUUAAUUCAAAGGUAUUCCAAUAAUGCCUUAUAGAAUUAGUUACCAGAGACUUAAGAGGUCCUAAGGCCAAAAUAUUUUCCCUGAUCUUGUCAGUAAUAGUUUUCUGAGCAUUUUAUGCUUUUUGGAAAACAUUCUUAGUCAUUUUCAAAAUCCAGUCCUUUCUAUUGUGCUAAUAUUGCAUAUUUACCAAUAUUUGUUGAUAUAUCAGACGACGACAAGAUGUUCAAAUGUAAACGUAUUAAUGCUCUUCAUUUCGUACUCUAUUUGGCCUUUUAACCUUUUUUUAUGACCUUGGCGUAUACGAUUAAAAGACUGUUUGGUAUCUUUGGUGAGUUUCUUUCAUUUACUGAGUCGUUGCUACAGCUGGUGAGGAUUUCCUCCCCGAAGGUCUUUGGACCCACUUGUCACCAUUUCGAUGUUGACAUGAAUAAUCUUUGAUAUUUUGAUAUAAAUAAAUUAACUGUUUACAACACUUUAUAUUGUUCUAAAUACAUAGGAUUCUCUGUUUAAUGAAUAUAAUAAUAUUAGCAAAGCUGUAUUUGGAAAAACCUUUCAGAAUGUUUUGUCUUCAAUGCUUGUCAACUUUGUUCUUUAUUUGGCCUCUGAACUUUCCUGAUUCUAGCGUCACUCAUUAGUCUUUAGAAGAUAAACUUAUUAAUUGUGUUCAAACUAUAAGCCUGGAGUAUUCGAUGAGUGUUUCUUUUUUUUUUUUGUAACAAUUUAAAGUUGAAAAGUGUAAGAUUAUUUUGUACCUGUUCAGACCUGCUAAAAAGCAAAAUGACAAAUAUACUGAGUUCCGAGGAAAAUUCAAAAAGGAAAGUGCCUAAUCAAAAAUUAAAACAUGAAAAAACGUUAAAAACGAAGAAUUUUAUGUUUUUUCCCCUGGAUUUCUAACUUUCUAACUUAUUUGAUGCUCUUUUAUUUGGUUUGUUUCGUCGUAAUCAUCUAUAUUGGUUUUUUAAGUGUUGGAGAAUAAAAAGUAUUGGUUUUUAUUAUUAUUGAAUGGAAUUUAAAGGAACUUAUUAUUUAAAAGCAAAUAUGAUAAUUAAUGCUGCUCAAUUCAAACAAAUCAGCUUUACCCACAAAAUCCUUUAAUUAGGAUAUCGACAGUAAUUAUAAUAAUGUGCCUUGUGACCAUUGAUAUAACUAAAAAACAAAAAAAAAGGUAAUUAAAAUGUUUAAUAUCAGCUUACAUUAGAUUUAUGAGUUUGACUGUCCCUUUGGUAUCUUUCGUCCCUCUUUUACAGGGAACUAUGAAGAAUUUAAUUGUUCUUGCCCUUUGUUUGGUCAGUGUUGUUUACUCAAACCCAUACAGGAAUAUUGGACUCUAUAGAGGUAAAUAUGUUCAACAUUUACUUCACAGCAGCAGCAACAACAAUAAAUAUGUGUAUUUUUUUCUGUAUUUUUAUUAGAUAAAUAAACAAAGUUGAUCAAACAUUGUGGAAUAUUAUUAUCAAUCAAUAUGCUUGAUUUUUUUCUUCUAAUUCUUUGAUUUAUAGUAUCGUAUGUAAAACAGCAUAACCCAUCGUUAUAAGUCUCUUAUCAAUUAUUGCCUGUUGGCGUAUCUUAAUCAAUGUAUGAUAUUGUCUUUUUUCAAAGAAUAGUCUUUAAAUUGGGACCACUGACGCGUCUAAUGUCACACAAUAUUAUGUUUUACAUGUAAAUUUACAAAAUUAGAACCUUAAAUUUUAUCUCACACCUAUUAAAUACAAAGACAAACAUGCACAACAAAAAAAUCAGAUAUUUAAACUAAGUUACGAUAUAAACAUUUUAAUAAUAAAGAUCACAAAAUACCAAACUCCUAGGAAAAUUCAAAAUGGAAAGUCAAUUUACAAAUGAUAAAAUCAAAAGUUCAAACACAUCAACUGUAUCGAAAAAAAACUGUCAUAUUCAUGACUUGGUAAAGGCAUUCGUUAUGUACAAAAGGGUGGAUUAAACCAGGUUUUAUAGCUAUCUAAACCUCACACUUGUAUGACAGUCGCAUAAAAUAUUCCGUUAUACUGACAAUAAUUUUGUAAGCGAAACAAACAGACAUAAUAGGUAAAAAAAAAAGGGUAUAGCAGUCAUCAUUGCAUUAUAAUCACCAUUUAAAAAAAAUCCAUUUAUAUCAAAACAUGUUUCUGUUUUAUAUUUUCGUCGUAUAAACUAGAAGGUCCAUCACUACACGUCGUCAGUAAGAAGUUUCUUUUCAUUUUCUUACAUGCUCGAUAAUUGUGUGAAACGGCAGGAUAUGGUUACAUGUAUUUAACUGUAUUUAUACACAUUAUAAUAUGUAAACAUAUUCAUAAAUAUUUACUUAAUUGUUCUUUCAAAUUUUAUGCAUGCGAUGUGUUUAAAUGACAGUUGUUUUAGCGUCGUUAGAUGUGUUUGAACUUUCAAUUUUGCCAUUUAUAAUUGACUUUCCGUUUUGAAUUUUCUUUCGAGUUUAAUAUUUCUAUUAUUUUACUUUUUAUCAAAUACUUAUAAUACUAGUAAUCAUGAAAUUUCGCGAUAUGUGACACUUCAUUAUCGUACGAUAUCUUUACCUAUUGAAACGAAAUUGAAUAAAGCAGUCAUUAUAAAAAAGAAGAUGUGAUAUGAUUGCAAAUGAGACAACUCCAAGCGAGGCCAAACUGAAACAGAUAUUAACAACUUUAGGUCACCGUACGACCUUCAACAAUGAGCAAAGCUCAUACCGCAUAGUCAGCUUUAUAAGGCCCCGAAAUGACAAUGGAAAACAAUUCAAACGAGAAAAGUAAAGGCCUAAUUUAUGUACAAAAAAAUGCGUCAUAAGAAUAAAUAUGAAAUAUUUUGCUGAAUCUACAAUCAAGAUUAAUAUCAUUCACUUCUUCUACAGUUAGUGUUUGACGGAAAACAAAUUAAAGUCAAUCUAUUUGUUCGUAUGAUUCUUCGAACGUAAAGUUUAUUUAAUUUUUAAUUUUUGUGUUGUAACGCCACUUUUAAGCGCCACUUUUUAGCUUAUUUUAUGACGGUCAGUUUUUAUAGGUGGAGGAAGCCAGAGUGCCCGGCGAAAACUACCAACCAUCGAUAGGAAAACUGACAAUCCUAAUCUAUUCAGAUUGGAGUUGAGUGCAAACUUCAGUGUUGACCAGCUAGUAGAACUACUUAGACCAAUUGGCCAUCGAGGCCCCUUUGUACGUAAAAAAAACGAGAAAACAAAAACGAAGUAGUUGCUGAAUUUACAGGUUCUGUAUACAUGUAUAAAUAACACCAUGAUUUUUCUACUUAGGCUAUGUUGGAUGUUUCGUGGAUGACCGUAAUCACCUUAUGUUAAAUCAUAGGAAACGGGUUUUACAUCGGAAUUCAUUACUGAAAUGCAGACAUCACUGUAGAGGGUUCAGGUAUCUUGGAUUACAGGUAAAACAACAAUGCGAGCUAUCUACAAUUAGCAAAUUGUACAGUGGUUGCGGUUCGCAUUUUCCAUAAAAAUUGUUUGUCAAAAAAGUGUUUCUGGGAGGUGGCAAUUCUGAGUAAUUAAGUUUAUAAAAAAGUAAGCACAGUUAAGUUAGUUCUGAUAUAAAAAAUUUAAAAAAUCGUAAGUCGGUUUAUACCAAUCUUAUUCUUGACUUUUAAUUGUUGUUUUAUGUCAAAUUUUCGGUUUUGAUAUUUCUUGGUUUUGGAAUUUUCUGCUUUCCGCCAUUCGAAUUUUAGAAUUUUAACAACACUAAAGGUAUCAGUUUUACUAAAUCAGAAGCACAUUUCGUCAAGCAAUAAAUCUUAAGUGAUGCUUGAAACCAAAAUUUUGUAAAUCAUAAACCUGAUACAAGAUUGAACUAAAAUGGGCAGAAAGUGUAGCGAAAUCUGGACAAGAAAUCAGAGCUUCGCAUGAGGAAGAUAUAUAUAAAAUGACUGAAUAAUAGCCAAUGAUAACUCUUACGGGACUAUGGAUCAUAUAUUUAUGAUACAGUAUACUACAAAAUAUAAUAUAUAGCAAGUCUAAAAAGGUACAAUAUCAUAAAAAACAAUAAAAUUAACAAAUGUUAAAUAUUUCGGAUAACAGAUAUCCUUCAUCAGUAUGAGCACGAUGUAAAAUGAAUCAGAUCAAUCUAUUCUGAUUAUUAAACGAUAGCAAUCUUUAAUUCUACACAGUAAAAAAAAAGUGAAAGAGUUUCAUCCGAAAACGUCUCCAUAUAUGAUGUUUGGGUGGAACUGUUUCACUUUUUAAUUGAAAGCGGCAGAAGAUAACAUAGUCAAACAUUUAUAGAAAAAAAGAAUAAGCAACAUAAACCAAUGAUUUAUUAACAUCAUUCAAAAGCAGAUUGGUAAAUUUCUUUUUUCUCAUCAAUACGUAAUCACAAAAUAUAUAAAUCAUCAGUACAUGUAAAUUAUCUGACCCCUAAAUAUGCCAACUCAUAAUUUCCAGUCUCGAUUUUUAUUUAUUUUUUGGUAACAUACAAAUAUAUAUUUUUCAGGCCGGUCGUUGGUGCCUUUGUGGAAACAGGUAUUACAGCCGAGCAUAUCCCCAAGCAUCGGAGUUGGAAUGCAAAUACCGUUGUCCAGGGGAACCGAAUAGGAUGUGUGGCGGCGCGUGGAGAAAUUCAAUCUAUAAAGGUACAUAAAGUUAGAAAGAUAUGUAAAGUUAAAAACAGAGUAACUUUUAUAUGCGUUAACUUAUCUUCAAUCCCAAAUGGCUGACUAAAGAUAAAAUAUGUCAACCGUGACCUCUUUAGUCCGGCAUUCGAAAUUAAACUUAAGGACGACAGCGAUCAUUUGUAUAUGAGGGAUGUAUGAAAACGCAGUUACGUUCGAAUAUGUUGCAUCCAAAUGAACGCUGAACGUGAAUAAACGUUACAGGGCAAAAUGACUGGACAUACCCAAAACAUAUUUUUUACAGUUGUUUUCUAUUUUUUUCCGUAACAUUAUUCCAAAGAGAAACAACAAAAUCACAAAAAUAAAUGAAAUAAAAACAAGACAAAUAUGUUUCAAAAGACGUCUAUACAAUAUUCCUAUCUAAGUUCAGAAAAAUACUGUGAACUAAUUUGAGAAAUCUUACAAAACAUUUUCCUGCAAGAUAAUUUUUUGUGUUACGCCAUAUCAUGAUGUGUUUACAUACUAUGUAUUCGCAUGACUUGGGAUGCAUGCGAAACUAGAGACGCGACUCAUGUGAUUCCCUCAUGUUUUGUUAUUUUGAUUGUAAAUUAGAAAUGGAAUUUGAACAUCAGUUUACUACUAUUGCAUCUCAUUUAGACACCUUAAAAUGUGGCUAUGGACUUUUUAGGUAACACAAUGUUCGGCAACCAAAGAUACUAGAAUAUAUAGACUGUUCUACAUUUUAAUGACCACGAUAUGUUUUACUAAAAUGAUGUUUUUCACAAAAUUUAGAAGCAAAACAUUUGGAACGUCAAACAAUAGUAGAAUAACAAAAAUAUUGAAUUCCAGGAAAUAUUGAAACGGUUAAGCCCUUUUUAUCAGACAACAGUGGUUUGAAUAAAAGAAUUGAAGAAUAAAAACAGCUGGAAAAGAGAAAGGUGUGAUGAUAAUUAAUCUGAUGAAAUUAACGAAAGUUUUCAUAUUGAUGAAUGAAACCACGGAUAUAGCUUUCCGGAAGUUAAAUAAGUAAACUUAUGUUUGAUAGAUAAUAUAAUUAAGAUGGUUAUAAUUGUUUUUUUUAAUUUUUAUUUACAGUUUGAUUUCGUUGGAAAAGAAUCACGAGCAGCAUAUUACAGAUCAACUACAUCGUCGUAAUUGAAAUAUCUUAAUCAUAGAACUUUAUUUUAUAAUCAUGUUAUAAAUUGUAGAAUCAAAAUAAAUCAUAUCUAAAAUCAAGGAACUUGCUAAGAAAUAUGAAUAUCAAUUCU